UUAACACAUGCAAGUCGAACGAUGAACCACUUCGGUGGGGAUUAGUGGNGAANGGGUGAGUAACACGUGGGCAAUUUGCCCUUCACUUUGGGACAAGCCCUGGAAACGGGGUUUAAUACCGGAUAACACUUCCACUUUCCUGGGUGGAGGUUAAAAGCUCCGGCGGUGAAGGAUGAGCCCGCGGCCUAUCAGCUUGUUGGUGAGGUAAUGGCUCACCAAGGCGACGACGGGUAGCCGGCCUGAGAGGGCGACCGGCCACACUGGGACUGAGACACGGCCCAAACUCCUACGGGAGGCAGCAGUGGGGAAUAUUGCACAAUGGGCGAAAGCCUGAUGCAGCGACGCCGCGUGAGGGAUGACGGCCUUCGGGUUGUAAACCUCUUUCAGCAGGGAAGAAGCGAAAGGACGGACCUGCAGAACAAGCGCCGGCUUAACUUACGUGCCAAGCAGCCGCGGUAAUACGUAGGCGCAAGCGUUGUCCGGAAUUAUUGGGCGUAAAGAGCUCGUAGGCGGCUUGUCACGUCGGGUGUGAAAGCCCGGGGCUUAACCCCGGGUCUGCAUUCGAUACGGGCUAGCUAGAGUGUGGUAGGGGAGAUCGGAAUUCCUGGUGUAGCGGUGAAAUGCGCAGAUAUCAGGAGGAACACCGGUGGCGAAGGCGGAUCUCUGGGCCAUUACUGACGCUGAGGAGCGAAAGCGUGGGGAGCGAACAGGAUUAGAUACCCUGGUAGUCCACGCCGUAAACGGUGGGAACUAGGUGUUGGCGACAUUCCACGUCGUCGGUGCCGCAGCUAACGCAUUAAGUUCCCCGCCUGGGGAGUACGGCCGCAAGGCUAAAACUCAAAGGAAUUGACGGGGGCCCGCACAAGCAGCGGAGCAUGUGGCUUAAUUCGACGCAACGCGAAGAACCUUACCAAGGCUUGACAUACACCGGAAACGUCUGGAGACAGGCGCCCCCUUGUGGUCGGUGUACAGGUGGUGCAUGGCUGUCGUCAGCUCGU
rnacentral:rRNA from 1 species